CGUAUCGACAACCUACCUAUCGAGAGGGGAACUAACCCGGACGAAAGUCGGACUAAUACCGCAUAAAACAGGGGCACCGCAUGGUGAUAUUUGUUAAAGAAAUUCGCUGAUAGAUGGGCAUGCGUUCCAUUAGGUAGUUGGUGAGGUAACGGCUCACCAAGCCGACGAUGGAUAGGGGAACUGAGAGGUUGGUCCCCCACACUGGUACUGAGACACGGACCAGACUCCUACGGGAGCAGCAGUGAGGAAUAUUGGUCAAUGGGCGAGAGCCUGAACCAGCCAAGUCGCGUAGAAGGAAGAAGGAUCUAUGGUUCGUAAACUUCUUUUGCAGGGGAAUAAAGUGCAGGACGUGUCCUGUUUUGUAUGUACCCUGAGAAUAAGGAUCGGCUAACUCCGUGCCAGCCGCCGC
rnacentral:rRNA from 1 species